rnacentral:sRNA from 1 species
GCUUUGCUCGGGUGUAAUGCAAAAUCCUCGUUUAAAAAUAGUUUUUUUAAACGAGGACUUGUUAAUGGAUAGCUGGAUCAACU